rnacentral:rRNA from 1 species
AACGAACGCUGGCGGCAUGCCUAACACAUGCAAGUCGAACGAAGGCUUCGGCCUUAGUGGCGCACGGGUGCGUAACGCGUGGGAAUCUGCCCUUGGGUUCGGGAUAACAGUGAGAAAUUACUGCUAAUACCGGAUGAUGACUUCGGUCCAAAGAUUUAUCGCCCAGGGAUGAGCCCGCGUUGGAUUAGCUAGUUGGUGGGGUAAAGGCCUACCAAGGCGACGAUCCAUAGCUGGUCUGAGAGGAUGAUCAGCCACACUGGGACUGGGACACGGCCCAGACUCCUACGGGGGGCAGCAGUGGGGAAUAUUGGACAAUGGGCGAAAGCCUGAUCCAGCAAUGCCGCGUGAGUGAUGAAGGCCUUAGGGUUGUAAAGCUCUUUUACCCGGGAAGAUAAUGAUUGUACCGGGAGAAUAAGCUCCGGCUAACUCCGUGCCAGCCGCCGCCGUAAUAC